ACGGAAGGCAGCAGUGGGGAAUAUUGCACAAUGGGGGAAACCCUGAUGCAGCGACGCCGCGUGAGCGAUGAAGUAUUUCGGUAUGUAAAGCUCUAUCAGCAGGGAAGAUAAUGACGGUACCUGACUAAGAAGCCCCGGCUAACUACGUGCCAGCAGCCGCGGUAAUACGUAGGGGGCAAGCGUUAUCCGGAUUUACUGGGUGUAAAGGGAGCGCAGGCGGUUUUUUAAGUCUGAUGUGAAAGCCCGUGGCUCAACUGCGGGACUGCAUUGGAAACUGGAGAACUAGAGUGUCGGAGGGGCAAGUGGAAUUCCUAGUGUAGCGGUGAAAUGCGUAGAUAUUAGGAGGAACACCAGUGGCGAAGGCGGCUUACUGGACUGUAACUGACGUUGAGGCUCGAAAGCGUGGGGAGCAAACAGGAUUAGAUACCCUGGUA
rnacentral:rRNA from 1 species